rnacentral:rRNA from 1 species
UACGGAGGGGGCUAGCGUUGUUCGGAAUUACUGGGCGUAAAGCGCACGUAGGCGGCUUUGUAAGUUAGAGGUGAAAGCCCAGGGCUUAACCCUGGAAUUGCCUUUAAGACUGCAUCGCUAGAAUCGUGGAGAGGUGAGUGGAAUUCCGAGUGUAGAGGUGAAAUUCGUAGAUAUUCGCAAGAACACCGGUGGCGAAGGCGGCCAACUGGACCAUUACUGACGCUGAGGCGCGAAAGCGUGGGGAGCAAACAGG